rnacentral:rRNA from 1 species
AACGUAGGUGGCGAGCGUUAUCCGGAUUUACUGGGCGUAAAGGGUGUGCAGGUGGACUGAUAAGUGGUGUAUGAAAUCGCCGCGCUCAACGUGGCGGGGUUAUGCCAGACUGCCAGUCUAGAGUGUGGGAGAGGUAAGCGGAAUUCCUGGUGUAGCGGUGAAAUGCGUAGAUAUCAGGAGGAACACCUGUGGUGUAGACAGCUUACUGGACCACGACUGACGCUGAGACACGAAAGCGUGGGUAGCAAACAGG